CCCCUCUCAGGUAGCAACUGGAGAGUUUCCAGUCCUCUACCAGUCUCAGCUAUGGGAGGGAGAGUCAAGCAGAGGCCUGUCCAUUCCAUUCCUAGCUUGGGCAGUGGCUAGCGAGUGGAAAGCAAUCUGCUACAAGU